GUCGCCCUUAUCCGCUCCGCUCGUCAUCAGCGGCGGCGAUGGCGACGCAGCAGCAGCUUCUGUCGUUCGCUCAUGGGGGCUCGAUCGGCGACGCUGGCACCUGGGUGCUCGCAUCGUUGCACCCCCGUCUGGUUGUCCAUGAUCCGCGAGGUGAGCCGGAAGUGGUGUUCGGCCACUUCUACCCUGCCGAUCCAAAUGCGGUGGGAGUAGGUCGUUGUGGCUGUGAUGAUGUCCUUGAGCAAGGCAUCAUUAUUUUAGUAUGUAUUUAUCGUAAUCGAGCUUCGUGAGAGCAUGUAAAUGCAAUAAACUUUAUGUUUCUGUUUAAUAUGACUUUCGUGAGCCCAAGGCUUGUAAUAGAAGUUAGUUGAACCCUCCUAUAUCGAACUUGUAAUAUUAAGUGUGUAAAAUUGCUCUUUGUGGAUCAUCGGCAAUGUACGUGCUUGUAUAACGGUACGUGUGCUUAAUCCUGUGCAUGUGGCAAACACGUACCGGGAUUUUCGGGUUUGCUCU